rnacentral:rRNA from 1 species
GACGAACGCUGGCGGUGUGCUUAACACAUGCAAGUCGAACGGUAAGGCCCUUUCGGGGGUACACGAGUGGCGAACGGGUGAGUAACACGUGAGUAACCUGCCCUCAUCUCUGGGAUAACAGUCGGAAACGGUUGCUAAUACUGGAUAUGAGCUUGCAAGGCAUCUUGUGGGUUGGAAAGAUUUUUUUUGGUUGGGGCUGGACUCGCGGCCUAUCAGCUUUUUGGUGAGGUAGUGGCUCACCAAGGCUUCGACGGGUAGCCGGCCUGAGAGGGCGACCGGCCACAUUGGGACUGGGAUACGGCCCAAACUCCUACGGGAGGCAGCAGUGGGGAAUAUUGCACAAUGGACGGAAGUCUGAUGCAGCAACGCCGCGUGCGGGAUGACGGCCUUCGGGUUGUAAACCGCUUUCAAUUGUGACGAAGCGUUUUUGUGACGGUAGCAGUAGAAGAAGCACCGGCUAACUACGUG